rnacentral:lncRNA from 1 species
GAGCAGGGCCCGUGGUGUGCCUGGUCUGAGAGGUGGAGGCCCCCACUGGCCUCGGGGCAUGGUGGGCGAGGGGAUGGGGGAUGGAGAGACGGCUUUCCUCGCAGGAGCAGAGUAGAUUUCCUGCCCGUUUGCCUGAUGCCCUGGGGGGAGCUUGGAUGGCUCUGCUCGAAGGGGCAGGGCCGAGGGCCUCUGUGAGGGAGCUCCUGACGGGCCUUGUUCAUUUGCAUCCUGGGCUUCUACUUUGGUCAGACAGGAGGAGUUGGACAGAACUGAGUGGCCGCCCUGGCGCUGGUGCUACCUGAUGGUUUCUUAAUUCAGCCGUGGCUCUAGAAACAAAAGGAAGAGAGGAAACCGCUCUGCACAGCCCCCUCCGGUGCCUGCUUGGUGCCGGCUGCGGGGGCCACGAGGAUGGAAACAUGCUUUGCUUUUUAGUGGGUCUCAGGCAGGCACUGGGCUGUCACAUGUGUCCCCAGCCCCGAUGCAGUUAGAACCGCCUGAUGAGUUUGGAGACUAUGCUGCUGGCCCCUCCUCUGAGAGUCUGCUGUCGUCACUGUUCAGGAGACGGUCACCCUGUGGAUACCUGCUGGUGUGUGGGGCUGCUUACAGGAUGGUGCUGGCACGAGCUGCUAAUCUUCCAGAAGCUGGCAUCCUGGAAGACACGACUCCGAGAAUCUCAGAGUGUUAUUGGCAUAAAACAAGAUGAAAGAGAGCCCCCAGGAGAUGGCUCAGAGGAUGAGAAGGUGAAGAGAGAAGCUCCAGGCCGCGUGGCCUGUCUCGAAGCCUCGAAGACGCAGAACCCGGUCUGGUACUGCUGGGAGCCAAGCCCUGCUGCCCAGCCCUGUGGUGGCUCCACCGUCGAGGGUGUGGUGGCCCAGACUCUGGUGGUGCAUUCCCAGGUCUCAGCUCCAGGCCACUGGCCUCCUGCUCCGUGAGUCUGCUACGAGCGGACCAAGGUUCCUGGAGAAAGACAAUUACCGUAUGACUUCAUUUCAUGUGUGGAAGAUAAACAGUCAUAGACGAGGAGAACAGAUUGGUGGUUGCCAGAGGGGAAGGGGAUGGGGGAGGAGGAAACGGGUAAAGGGGCCCAUAUGUGCGGUGAUGGAUGGAAACUAGACUUUUGGUGGUGAACACCGUGCGGUCUAUACAGAAGCCAAAAUAUAAUGAGGUACACCUGAAAUUGACACAGUGUUAUGAAACGAUACGACCUCAAUAAAGUAAAAACAAGAAUUAAAAACCCGCCA